ACGGGUGAGUAAUACUUAGGAAUCUGCCUAUUAAUGGGGGACAACAUCUCGAAAGGGAUGCUAAUACCGCAUACGCCCUACGGGGGAAAGCAGGGGAUCACUUGUGACCUUGCGUUAAUAGAUGAGCCUAAGUCGGAUUAGCUAGUUGGUGGGGUAAAGGCCUACCAAGGCGACGAUCUGUAGCGGGUCUGAGAGGAUGAUCCGCCACACUGGGACUGAGACACGGCCCAGACUCCUACGGGAGGCAGCAGUGGGGAAUAUUGGACAAUGGGGGGAACCCUGAUCCAGCCAUGCCGCGUGUGUGAAGAAGGCCUUAUGGUUGUAAAGCACUUUAAGCGAGGAGGAGGCUCUUCUAGUUAAUACCUAGGAUGAGUGGACGUUACUCGCAGAAUAAGCACCGGCUAACUCUGUGCCAGCAGCCGCGGUAAUACAGAGGGUGCGAGCGUUAAUCGGAUUUACUGGGCGUAAAGCGUGCGUAGGCGGCUUUUUAAGUCGGAUGUGAAAUCCCCGAGCUUAACUUGGGAAUUGCAUUCGAUACUGGGAAGCUAGAGUAUGGGAGAGGAUGGUAGAAUUCCAGGUGUAGC
rnacentral:rRNA from 1 species